UAUCCGCAUCUCCCGGCCGGAGGGUCGGAGGCGUCCGGGGUGGCUGUCGGCGUCACGGGGCGCGCGCUGAUGCGAACGGGGUGACAGAUGGGAACGCCUCCGAGACCGCCAGCGACGACCCCGCUCGGGCAGCCCCGGAUUUCCUCGGCUGCACCGGCGCCGGCAGCGGGGACCGAGGCCCGCGUCCGUUCGGGUCGGGCCGGGGCUUAGCCCCGCGCCCCACGGGCGGCCGGGACCCCACCCGGACCCCGCCGCGGUUCUGGGCCGCCGGAGCCUCGCGCCGCCUCUCGGGGACCUUGUCCCCUGGCCUCCGGCCUCUCGGGCCCCUCGCCUGCCGUCUAGGAGGGAAGGGGCCUUGGAUCUGUGCCCCGCCCAUGGAACAGCGCCCGGGCUCGGAGAGGCCCCGCGAGGCCGCAGGCGCAGACCCUCCCGGAGGGCUGGGCGGGCACCGGGGUCUUCGGCUGGCUUGAGGGACCCGACCCCUGGGGGAGGAAUUUGGGGUCUGUGUGUCCGAAUGAACGCGGGGGUUCAGAUGAGUCUGUGGUGCCCCCGCUUUCCAUCUCCUCCGGCCCCGGCCCCAGAGGACUGUCUGAGAGGCCGGUGGCCGCGGAUCCUGGACGCGCCUCCCUCCUGCCUGUGGUUUCCCUUUAUUCCGGCAGCGGCGCGAGCCCACCCUUCACAUACAGGAGCUACAUCCAGAAGCUUCUCCUGGGGCCACAGCGUGGGCUUCCGAGACUCUGCGUGACCCCAGCUCUGCCCCUUUGGGGCUGCGGGUGAAGCCCUCAGGACCCUCCGCGUGCGUUGGGCAGUUUCUAAGGAAUGAAUCCCCGAGUGUGGCAGGAAGGACACAGCCGGCUCCUGACGCACACCUGAUUUGAUUCAACACCGAGUCGGCACAGACACAACCAGAGAUGGCCUGGGUCCAGGCUGGGGCUGCACGGGCUGUGUCCUGGACAGCCAGGAGGGAGGCCCCGCACACAGACGGCCGCCGGGCAGGGGGCCUGAGCGGGACAGGCCUGGCCACAGCCCAUGUCCUUGGCCUUCCACAUAGGUGCACACAUUGUCUGCCCAGAGAGGGCCAAGAUGCCCCAGGCACCCCUUCGCUCCGGGGGCUCAGGACACAGGCUCCCAGCUGAGGCCACGCCUGGACCCAGAGCUGAUGUUUGGCUGCACGCGAGCCCACUCGGGACAGACCCAAGAACACGAAUUCUCUCCCUUUGGAUUUAAGGCUGGUGUUUUUUGACAUUUACUUCAGUUUUUCUCUCUGAAAUUAAAAUUACCUGAGUAAAAGA
rnacentral:lncRNA from 1 species